rnacentral:rRNA from 1 species
AUUAAGUUUAAUUUAAUAUAGGAUCUGCUCAAUGAUUUAUUAAAUAGCUGCAGUAUUUUGACUGUGCAAAGGUAGCAUAAUAAUUAGUCUUUUAAUUGAGGACUUGUAUGAAAGAUUUGAUGAGAAAUAAACUUUAUUAUUUAUAUAAUUAAAAUUUUAUUUUUAAGUAAAAAAGCUUAAAUUAUUUAAAGGGACGAUAAGACCCUAUAAAACUUUAUAAAUAUUAAUUUUAAUUUUUUUGGUUUUAUAAAUAUUUUAAUUUUGUUAUUUAUUUUAUUGGGGUGAUAAAAAAAAUUAUUAAACUUUUUUUAAAAUUUUACAUUAUUUAAUGAAUAUUUGAAUUAAAAUUUUUAAUUAUAGGAAAAAGUUACUUUAGGGAUAACAGCGUAAUUAAUUUUUUAAGUUCAAAUUUAAAAAUUAGUUUGCGACCUCGAUGUUGAAUUAAGAUUAAUCUUGGGUGCAAAAUUUCAAGUAUUAGGUCUGUUCGACCUUUAAAUUCUUACGUGA